rnacentral:lncRNA from 1 species
GGACGAAUUUCAUUUUGUUCUUAUAUGCAAUGAUUAAUUUUCAAUAAAUUAAUUAAAGAGGUCUCAUUUCAUUAAAUGCAAUUGCCAAUAUGUUGACCGAAAAUGGACAGAUGGAUAUUUUAAUGUACCUUAUCAUGUGAUAUAUUAGGUCAGUGUAUCCAGGAUACGAGGACAAUCUGCGUUAACGCGCGUUUACUACAAACAGUAAACGGUCGUUUACUUUUUUUUUUAAGAUAGAAGACACGCCUUUUUCGCGUUAACGCGAAGUAAACGCGAAAGUAAACGCCCGUUUACUCUUUACAAGAUUAGAAGACGCGCGGUUUUCGCGUUAACGCGGAGGUAAACGCGAAAGUAAACGCCCGUUUACUAUUUAUGUCUACUAAAAUUUCGGAGUUAACGCAGAGUUAACGUGGCGUUUACAUGAAGUGCACGCGAGUAAACGCCGCGUUCACUUUUUAGGCCCGUUUACAUGUAAUGCUUGGUCUGCACCCAACUGUAUA